rnacentral:rRNA from 1 species
UAGAUACCCUAUUAUUUUGAAUGUAAAUAUUAAAAACUUGAUUAAUAUAAGUUUAUGGUCUUUAAAAUUAAAGAUUUUGGCGGUAUUUUAGUCUAUUCAGAGGAAUCUGUCCUAUAAUUGAUAAUCCACGAUUUAAUUUACUUUUAGAAAAAAUUUAUAUAUCGUCGUAGUUUGAAUAUUUUAAAAGAAUUUUAAUGUUCAAAAUUUUUUUAUAAAAUUAAAUCAGAUCAAGGUGUAGUUUAUAUAAAAGAAGAGAUGGAUUACAUUAAAUUUAUUUAAAGAUUAAUUUUUGUAAAAUUUUAUGAAUAUGGAUUUGAUAGUAAUUUUUUUAAAAUUUUAAAAAUGAUUUAAGCUCUAAAAUAUGUACACAUC